AGAUUAAGCUUUUCAAUAAAAAAUUAAAGAUUGUGAAUCUUUUAUAAUUUUAUUGAUAUC
rnacentral:tRNA from 1 species